UUAAAUUAAGAGUUUUUUGAAGAAAUUAUAUUUGCUUGAGAAUUAAAUCAAAAGGUGUUAUAAGCGACGGGCAGUUACAGUGUUACUCGGUUAUACUGAAAGGCAAAUCUAGAGCUCAGCUAGAAAAAUCUUUUAAACUAGCCUAGUGUUGGAUUAGUUGGUAUAGAGGUGUCGUGGAUCACUCGCUGUAAAAGGCACAUAGGAGAAACUAUCUCUGUAAGUGAGACCAUAAUUUUUUAAAUGAGGAGAAACUAAUCAAAUUAAAAUUUUCAGUUUGAGCUGCUAGUAAGCUGCUACGAAACGGUGGUGUAUUUCCGACUAUUCCGAACAGUAUUUUUAUGCCUUCCAUAAGAAUUAGUUAUAGCAAAUUUUCA